rnacentral:rRNA from 1 species
AGAGUUUGAUCAUGGCUCAGAACGAACGCUGGCGGCGUGCUUAACACAUGCAAGUCGAACGCGAAAGAGUUCUUCGGAACUUGAGUAGAGUGGCGCACGGGUGAGUAACGCGUAAGUGAUCUACCCCUGUAUCUGGAAUAACUAUUGGAAACUGUAGCUAAUACCGGAUACGUUCAUGUAGUUGCGAUUAUGUGAAGGAAGAUGGCCUCUGACAUAAGCUAUCGUACAGGGAGGAGCUUGCGUACCAUUAGCUAGUUGGCAGGGUAAAGGCCUACCAAGGCGACGAUGGUUAGCGGGUCUGAGAGGAUGAUCCGCCACACUGGAACUGAACCACGGACCAGAAUCCUACGGGAGGCAGCAGUGAGGAAUAUUGCGCAAUGGGGGCAACCCUGACGCAGCGACGCCGCGUGGAUGAUGAAGGCCUUCCGGUCGUAAAAUCCUGUCGGAUGGAAAGAAGUGUGAUGUGGUUAAUACCCAUGUCAUUUGACGGUACCAUCAGAGGAAGCACCGGCUAACUCCGUGCCAGCAGCCGCGGUAAUACGGAGGGUGCAAGCGGUGUUCGGAAUUACUGGGCGUAAAGCGCGCGUAGGCGGUUUGUCAAGUCAGAUGUGAAAGCCCCGGGCUUAACCUGGGACGUGCAUUUGAAACUGGCAGACUUGAGUACUGGAGGGGGUGGUGGAAUUUCCGGUGUAGAGGUGAAAUUCGUAGAUAUCGGGAGGAAUACCGGUGGCGGAGGCGACCACCUGGCCAGAUACUGACGCUGAAGUGCGAAGGCGUGGGGAGCAAACAGGAUUAGAUACCCUGGUAGUC